CUCACCUGUGAUGAGUUCGAUACCGCCCCAGUCUGAUUACUAUGACUGAAAGGUACUUUCUGAGCUGUG
ensembl:snoRNA SNORD31 Small nucleolar RNA SNORD31